GGAGAUUCAUCAUCAGCGAUCCUGGUACGUGUGCGGUUCGUGAUGCUGGGACUUCGGUCUCGCGGCACGCGUCCGUAUGGUUUUAUUGCUAGGUGUCGUCGGUGUGCACUUCUCCCCUAGUAGGACGUCGCGACCCGUUGGGUGUCGGUCUACGGCCCGGGUGGGCGCCUGUUAUGUGUCACGCUUUACGGCGUCAUGUGGCAGACCCCCGGUUGUCUGACCGGCUGCUCGGCGGUACUCGCACGGUAUCGGGCCGCAAAUAUUCGAACUGCGUCCGGCCCGCCGCAAGCGAGGUCAGUGUUUCCCGGAUGUACGGACCUAGCGCCGUCACCGGGCCUGGCCAGCUGUUGGUCGGUGGUGUCCUGGGACUGGCUCUUACAUUAAAUUAUGAUACCGGUCGGCGACGCUACUGCUUUGGGUACUUUCAGGACCCGUCUUGAAACACGGACCAAGGAGUCUAACAUGUGCGCGAGUCAUUGGGAACUAUUAAGCCUAAAGGCGCAAUGAAAGUGAAGGUCGGCCUUGCGCCGACUGAGGGAGGAUGGGCCGCGUCACGAUGCGGUCCCGCACUCCCGGGGCGUCUCGUUCUCAUUGCGAGAAG
rnacentral:rRNA from 1 species